rnacentral:rRNA from 1 species
CGGUGGCGGACGGGGGAGUAACGCGUGGGUAACCUGCCUCAUACAGGGGGAUAACGGUUAGAAAUGACUGCUAAUACCGCAUAAGCGCACAGUACCGCAUGGUACGGUGUGAAAAACUCCGGUGGUAUGAGAUGGACCCGCGUCUGAUUAGCUAGUUGGUGGGGUAACGGCCCACCAAGGCGACGAUCAGUAGCCGACCUGAGAGGGUGACCGGCCACAUUGGGACUGAGACACGGCCCAG